AUUGAUAGUUUACAAUAAAUUUCAAUCAAGAUUAAGAUGAGUUUGGGUAUUGAAAUUAUUAAUCAGGUUGGAAUUUAAAUAGAAUGAUUUUCAUGAUGAGUAUCUUAUAUGAUACCAUCUUAGGUGAAUGUCAAGAUUACACAUGCAUUUUAUAAGCUCCGUAUACUACAAUGAGGAAUUCAACAUAUACAUUUCACACCCCAUGCUUUCAACGCAGCUUAUAGAACACUUAGAUACUAACACACACACAGAAUGCAGUAAUGAAAACCAACUACGUACGGAUGAAGAGAAUCGAGCAUAAGCAACAGAUUCUCGAUCCAAGCUUCUACCCUUGUUUCUCUGGCCAGAUUGUCAGGACUCAAGCCUCCACCCUCCACCCUUCCCUACACUGCUCACUGCCACACAGUUAAGAUUCAAGCCUCCAAUCCUCCCUUCUGCCUUGUUGCUCGCUUUUCCUUACACACUUUUAUUACUAAGAAUCAUUCCCCAUCUUCAAUGACCACAAAUCGUGCUACCAAAUCAGAUUCAUAAUCUCAGAAGCAGAACUCCAGGAGUGAUUUCAUAGUCAAUAGCAUAAUUUAGGAAAUAAUUAUGCAUUAUCAUUGCUGAUUUUUUACGUAAAUGGUUCCUUAAUUGUCUCUCUCUGAACUAUAAACAUAUUUGCGAUGAAAGUGAAAAGUGUGCAGCCUUAAUAAUAUUAUCGCUCUCACACAAAGCUUAC
rnacentral:misc_RNA from 1 species